AUUGAACGCUGGCGGCAGGCCUAACACAUGCAAGUCGAGCGAGCGGCGGACGGGUGAGUAAUGGCUGGGAACCUGCCUGAGGGGGGGGGAUAACUACUGGAAACGGUAGCAAAGAACGCCUACCAUCGGGUCUGCACAGAUGGGGUUAGCUAGUGGGUGGGGUAACGGCUCACCUAGGCGACGAUCCCUAGCUGGUCUGAGAGGAUGACCAGCCACACUGGAACUGGGACACGGUCCAGACUCCUACGGGAGGCAGCAGUAGGGAAUAUUGCACAAUGGGCGCAAGCCUGAUGCAGCCAUGCCGCGUGUGUGAAGAAGGCCUUCGGGUUGUAAAGCACUUUCAGCGGGGAGGCGUUACCCGCAGAAUAAGCACCGGCUAACUCCGUGCCAGCAGCCGCGGUAAUAC
rnacentral:rRNA from 1 species